rnacentral:rRNA from 1 species
UUGGGAUAACCCCGGGAAACCGGGGCUAAUACCGAAUAUGACUUCUGGUCGCAUGACCGGUGGUGGAAAGUUUUUCGGCCUGGGAUGGGCUCGCGGCCUAUCAGCUUGUUGGUGGGGUGAUGGCCUACCAAGGCGACGACGGGUAGCCGGCCUGAGAGGGCGACCGGCCACACUGGGACUGAGACACGGCCCAGACUCCUACGGGAGGCAGCAGUGGGGAAUAUUGCACAAUGGGCGGAAGCCUGAUGCAGCGACGCCGCGUGAGGGAUGACGGCCUUCGGGUUGUAAACCUCUUUCAGCAGGGACGAAGCGUAAGUGACGGUACCUGCAGAAGAAGCGCCGGCCAACUACGUGCCAGCAGCCGCGGUAAGACGUAGGGCGCGAGCGUUGUCCGGAUUUAUUGGGCGUAAAGAGCUCGUAGGCGGCUUGUCGCGUCGACUGUGAAAACCCGCAGCUCAACUGCGGGCCUGCAGUCGAUACGGGCAGGCUAGAGUUCGGUAGGGGAGACUGGAAUUCCUGGUGUAGCGGUGAAAUGCGCAGAUAUCAGGAGGAACACCGGUGGCGAAGGCGGGUCUCUGGGCCGAUACUGACGCUGAGGAGCGAAAGCGUGGGGAGCGAACAGGAUUAGAUACCCUGGUAGUCCACGCUGUAAACGUUGGGCGCUAGGUGUGGGGGGCCUCUCCGGUUCCCUGUGCCGCAGCUAACGCAUUAAGCGCCCCGCCUGGGGAGUACGGCCGCAAGGCUAAAACU